rfam:Aedes albopictus isolate Foshan contig20687, whole genome shotgun sequence.
UAGCCUAGUGGUUAAGGCCAUGGAUCGCCAAUCCGGAGAUUGCGGGUUCGAUUCCCGU